rnacentral:rRNA from 1 species
UAACGCGUGGGAAUCUGCCCUUAGGUACGGAAUAACUCAGGGAAACUUGAGCUAAUACCGUAUAAUGACUCCGGUCCAAAGAUUUAUCGCCUGAGGAUGAGCCCGCGUCGGAUUAGCUAGUUGGUGAGGUAAGAGCUCACCAAGGCGACGAUCCGUAGCUGGUCUGAGAGGAUGAUCAGCCACACUGGGACUGAGACACGGCCCAGACUCCUACGGGAGGCAGCAGUGGGGAAUAUUGGACAAUGGGCGAAAGCCUGAUCCAGCAAUGCCGCGUUGUAUGAAGGCCUUAGGGUUGU